rnacentral:rRNA from 1 species
UACGAAGGGGGCUAGCGUUGCUCGGAAUCACUGGGCGUAAAGCGCACGUAGGCGGCUUGUUAAGCCAGGGGUGAAAUCCUGGAGCUCAACUCCAGAACUGCCUUUGAUACUGGCGAGCUUGAGUCCGGGAGAGGUGAGUGGAACUGCGAGUGUAGAGGUGAAAUUCGUAGAUAUUCGCAAGAACACCAGUGGCGAAGGCGGCUCACUGGCCCGGUACUGACGCUGAGGUGCGAAAGCGUGGGGAGCAAACAGG